AUGGCCCUGAUUGUGCUGGCAGCCCUGGCGGGACUGGCAGCCUUUGGUCAUGCCCAAAAGGACUCUGUGCUCCAGUUCCCUGCAGAAAUGACCAUCCAGAGAGGACACAGCACAGCUCUGCGCUGCAAUUUCUCCACCAGUUCUGCCAGUUCCUACAUCUUCUGGUACCAGCAGCGCCAGACGCAGUCCCCUCAGAUGCUGCUGCAGGGAGUGUACAAAUGGAAACCGCAGGUGGAUUCAGGGAGGUUCUCGUCUUCACUGUCUGUGGAGACCUCCCAGGUGGUUCUGCAUGUGCGGGAUGCUGAGCUCCAGGACAGCGCUGCCUAUUUCUGUGCACUGAGCCCACAGUGGUGCCCACAGCACGCAGCAGCGCAUAGAAACAUGGGCGGUGCUGUGAGGGGCACAUCCCUCCCUGCCACUGCUUGCCUGGAGCUCUGAGCUCAGCCUACUCAGCAGCAGCACCUGGGGGCUGUGGUGAGGCUGGGCCUCUGCCUCCCCAGCCUGUACUGCUGUGAGGCACAGGCCUGUGUGACUUGUGCAGCUGCGUCUGGAUCCAGGCUCUUUGAUGAUGAGAAGCGCUCAAGAAAGCACCGCAGAGUGGACGUUUUCAAGGCCCUUCCAGAUAUCGAGCCUGUCCACAUCUCAAGCCUAUGUGUGGAGGAUAAUGCAAAGCUGGAGAACAUCCCCUUUGCUGCAGCCACCCAAAGAAUUCCCAUGGUACCAGGAAAAGAAAGGAAAAGAAACAUUAAAUCCCUCAGUGGUAGCAGCUCCCGCCUGACCUUGGUGAUCUCCUCAGGGGUCUGGGACCAGCCCCUGCCCUUGCAGAGGGAGCAGUUCCACAGUGACACACUCAUGUGGCCGCAGAAGGGGUGUGUCUGGGACAAGCCAGACUCCCCUUGGGCCGCAGCCGCUGAG